GUCUACGGCCAUACCACCCUGAACGCGCCCGAUCUUGUCUGAUCUCGGAAGCUAAGCAGGGUCGGGCCUGGUUAGCACUUGGAUGGGAGAAUCCAGGUUCCAGUCC
rfam:Myotis davidii contig154677, whole genome shotgun sequence.